rnacentral:rRNA from 1 species
GAUCCUGGGCUCAGGAUGAACGCUAGCUACAGGCUUAACACAUGCAAGUCGAGGGGAAACGAUAUUGGAAGCUUGCUUCCGAUAGGCGUCGACCGGCGCACGGGUGAGUAACGCGUAUCCAACCUGCCCACCACUUGGGGAUAACCUUGCGAAAGUAAGACUAAUACCCAAUGAUAUCUCUAGAAGACAUCUGAAAGAGAUUAAAGAUUCAUCGGUGAUGGAUGGGGAUGCGU